rnacentral:rRNA from 1 species
GACGAACGCUGGCGGCGUGCUUAACACAUGCAAGUCGAACGGAAAGGCCCUGCUUUUGUGGGGUGCUCGAGUGGCGAACGGGUGAGUAACACGUGAGUAACCUGCCCUUGACUUUGGGAUAACUUCAGGAAACUGGGGCUAAUACCGGAUAGGAGCUCCUGCUGCAUGGUGGGGGUUGGAAAGUUUCGGCGGUUGGGGAUGGACUCGCGGCUUAUCAGCUUGUUGGUGGGGUAGUGGCUUACCAAGGCUUUGACGGGUAGCCGGCCUGAGUGGGUGACCGGCCACAUUGGUACUGAGAUACGGCCCAGACUCCUACGGGAGGCAGCAGUGGGGAAUAUUGCACAAUGGGCGGAAGCCUGAUGCAGCAACGCCGCGUGCGGGAUGACGGCCUUCGGGUUGUAAACCGCUUUCGCCUGUGACGAAGCGUGAGUGACGGUAAUGGGUAAAGAAGCACCGGCUAACUACGUG